GUGCAGACCACUGAAGAGGCAGCAUGUAACCUGCCCAGCUGAGAAAGUUCCCUGAGGCAUUCCAGCUCUCUGGUUUUCAUUAAGAAGCUUCUCAGUCAAGAGCCAGCCGGUUGGCAGGAAAUAUCGUCAGGUAUUUGACCAGAGAGGGCAGAAGAUGUAUUGACAAGAAGGAAGCUGUUAACCAGAAUGUCUGGCAGACUCUUUCAUGAAGCAGUAACCCUGAAGGAUGUUCUCACCUUCAGGGGACGGAGCAACAGGGAAAUGGAUGGAACAGACCGGAGUGUUUCGUAAGUGGUUUCUGGAAGCUGAGUGGAUCUGGGAGACAGAACAGCUUGUGGACGAGCUACGGAAGGGGUCUUCGGUGAGGUGGAAAGCCGGAUGGCAAAUACUUCCUGUCUCCUGAGACCCGAUUCUUAGCAAGGUACCUCAGAGAUGACCUAGGCGAACUCAGUCCCGUGAGAGAGCUGGCUCUGUGCUGGGCAGCAGCCAGCCAACCAACAAUCGUGUGACAAAGAGAGAGAGAGAGAAGGUGUCGUUCUAUACAACUUUCCAGGAAGCCCAAAGGCUUGGGACACGGCUGGCUCUUUUCCUAACUUCAGUACUAGGUGUUGCUAAGAAAAACGUCCUUCCUUUUACAUAA